rnacentral:lncRNA from 1 species
AUAUUAAGUUGGUUGAAAAUUAUAAUUACAAUAAACUUAAAUCAUAUGGGAAAAGCGUUGUAGUUUUUUUCACACAACACUAUAGUUUUUCUCACAAAACAUUGUCAAUUACUGCAACAUUUUUUCUCAUGGGUUUUUUUCCUUCCAAGAUUAUCUUUGGUGGUUUUUUUUUAAUAUUAAGUUGGUAGAGAAUUUAGCUUUGUAAUUUUUUUUUGUUUUUUAUUAACAGAAAAGCUAAAUUAUGUGGUGAAAGCAUUGUAUCUUUCCUCCCAAAUUACUGUGGAUUACUACAAAUCAUUUUGUUCAGUCUCUAAGUUUUUUAUCACCAACACAACUUUUUUUUC